UACGUAGGGCGCAAGCGUUAUCCGGAAUUAUUGGGCGUAAAGAGCUCGUAGGCGGUCUGUCGCGUCGGCUGUGAAAACCCGGAGCUCAACUCCGGGCCUGCAGUCGAUACGGGCAGACUGGAGUUCGGCAGGGGAGACUGGAAUUCCUGGUGUAGCGGUGAAAUGCGCAGAUAUCAGGAGGAACACCGGUGGCGAAGGCGGGUCUCUGGGCCGAUACUGACGCUGAGGAGCGAAAGCGUGGGGAGCGAACAGG
rnacentral:rRNA from 1 species